AGUGAACGCUGGCGGUAGGCCUAACACAUGCAAGUCGAGCGGGGUUUUCGGACCUAGCGGCGGACGGGUGAGUAAUGCGUAGGAAGCUGCCCGAUAGAGGGGGAUACCAGUUGGAAACGACUGUUAAUACCGCAUAAUGUCUACGGAUCAAAGUGUGGGACCUUCGGGCCACAUGCUAUCGGAUGCGCCUACGUGGGAUUAGCUAGUUGGUGAGGUAAUGGCUCACCAAGGCGACGAUCUCUAGCUGGUUUGAGGAUGAUCAGCCACACUGGAACUGAGACACGGUCCAGACUCCUACGGGAGGAAGCAGUGGGGAAUAUUGGACAAUGGGCGCAAGCCUGAUCCAGCCAUGCCGCGUGUGUGAAGAAGGCUUUCGGGUUGUAAAGCACUUUCAGCGAGGAGGAAGGGUGGUGUGUUAAUAGCACAUCAUUUUGACGUUGCUCGCAGAAGAAGCACCGGCUAACUCUGUGCCAGCCGCCGCAGUAAAAC
rnacentral:rRNA from 1 species